rnacentral:sRNA from 1 species
GUCUAGCCCCGGUAGUAGCGGCAUCCUUUUGGGGCUUUCUUUAAGCCGCAAAAGAUAGAGCGAAUGACGGGAAAUUGC